rnacentral:rRNA from 1 species
UGAAUACGAGAUGCUACGGCGUCGAAGCAGUGUAUGUCAGACUUCCAAGAAAAGCUCGCAAUGUCAUAAAUAAAGAAUGCCUGUACCAUAACCGACACAGGUGGGUAGGUAGAGUAUACUAAGGGGCGCGAGAUAACUCUCUCUAAGGAACUCGGCAAAAUAACUCCGUAACUUCGGGAGAAGGAGUGCCUUCUAUUAGAAGGUUGCAAUAACAAGAUCCAAGCAACUGUUUAUCAAAAACACAGGUCUCCGCUAAGUCGUAAGACGAUGUAUGGGGGCUGACGCCUGCCCAGCGCCAGAAGGUUAAAGAAGUUGGUUAGCUUUGGCGAAGCUGAUGACUGAAGCCCCGGUGAACGGCGGCCGUAACGAUAACGGUCCUAAGGUAGCGAAAUUCCUUGUCGGGUAAGUUCCGACCCGCACGAAAGGCGUAAUGAUUUGGAUACUGUCUCGGAGAGGGACUCGGUGAAAUAGACUUGUCUGUGAAGAUGCGGACUACCUGCACCAGGACAGAAAGACCCUAUGAAGCUUUACUGUAACUUGAAAUUGAAAUUGGACUUUAUUUGCGCAGCAUAGGUGGAAGGCGUUGAGAUUACUCUUGCGGGAGUACUGGAGCCAUCAGUGAGACACCACUCCUAUAAUGUUAGAUUUCUAACUUUGGAUCAUAAUCUGGUCAAAGAACAGUUUCAGGCGGGCAGUUUGACUGGGGCGGUCGCCUCCCAAAUGGUAACGGAGGCGUACAAAGGUUUCCUCUGAACGGGUAGAAAUCGUAUCUAGAGUGUAAAGGCAUAAGGAAGCUUGACUGUGAGACCUACAAGUCGAGCAGGGACGAAAGUCGGUCUUAGUGAUCUGACGGUGCUGAGUGGAAAGGCCGUCACUCAACGGAUAAAAGUUACUCUAGGAUAACAGGCUGAUCUCCCCCAAGAGUUCACAUCGACGGGGAGGUUUGGCACCUCGAUGUCGGCUCAUCGCAUCCUGGGGCGGUAGUACGUCCCAAGGGUUGGGCUGUUCGCCCAUGAAGGCGGUACGCGAGCUGGGUUCAGAACGUCGUGAGACAGUUCGGUCCAUAUCCGGUGUAGGCGUUAGAAUAUUGAGAGGAGCCUUCUUUAGUACGAGAGGACCGAGAAGGACAUACCUCUGGUGUACCAGUUAUCGUGCCAACGGUAAACGCUGGGUAGCUAUGUAUGGAGAGGAUAACCGCUGAAAGCAUCUAAGUGGGAAGCCCACCUCAAGAUGAG